rnacentral:rRNA from 1 species
GGAGGAAAGCAGGGGAUCGUAAGACCUUGCGUUAAUGGAGCGGCCGAUAUCUGAUUAGCUAGUUGGUGAGGUAAAGGCUCACCAAGGCGACGAUCAGUAGCUGGUUUGAGAGAACGACCAGCCACACUGGAACUGAGACACGGUCCAGACUCCUACGGGAGGCAGCAGUGGGGAAUUUUGGACAAUGGGGGCAACCCUGAUCCAGCCAUUCCGCGUGAGUGAAGAAGGCCUUCGGGUUGUAAAGCUCUUUCGCAAGGGAAGAAAACUUAUGAUCGAAUAAAUCAUGAGGUUGACGGUACCUUGAUAAGAAGCACCGGCUAACUACGUGCCAGCAGCCGCGGUAAUACGUAGGGUGCGAGCGUUAAUCGGAAUUACUGGGCGUAAAGCGUGCGCAGGCGGUUUUGUAAGUCGGAUGUGAAAUCCCCGGGCUCAACCUGGGAACUGCGUUUUGAAACUACAAAGCUA